rnacentral:lncRNA from 1 species
AAAGAUCAAUAUUCGGGAACAAAAACCCCAUUCGUUUGGUUUAAUUCAAUACUGGAUGAGUUGGCCCCUUCCAUGGGCUUGACUGCAAGGGCAGAAACUUCCGACGAUGAGAACCCUGUUCACACCGCACCUGGUAUGCAAGCGUUCAGCAGAUUUGAAGUCGUCUGGCUGCGGUGGCUGUGAAGAAGGAGCAGCGGUAGCAGCAGCGAGUGGGCGUCGGCGCAUCACCUCGCGUCUUCGGAACAGUUGCCCCUCAAGCAAUCCGCCAAGCAGCGCUAAGAAGAACCCAUUGUUCCCCGCCAGAGUGCGGUGCAGACUUUUUGUGCAGACACCCAUUUUGUGCUAUUUAUAGCAAUCUCCGCUGUCUCUCUCCGGGUCAGUGAAAUAGAUCCACGCCUCUUGUGUGUGGGCGAGGCAGUGGGUCAGUGAAGUUCCUUGAAAUUGGCGGGGUCGGGUUUCUUUCCUAUUUGCGCUGAGGCGUAGACUGUUGGAUUGUUGGACACUUGAGUUCGCGCGGCGCUCUUCCUGCGAGCGGGUAUGUUGGGUUGAGUUUUCGUGGGGAAUGAACAGAAUGGAGGUGGAGGGUGAUUUCUUUUGUGUUGUUCGACGAGGAUUGGAGGCCUUUUCGUUGUUUGAUUGUGGAUUUGCGGUGUGAAUAGCUGUGUGGAAUUUGGAUAUAGAAUAGGGUUGUACGAGGACAUUCCGAUAUGUAAAUGUUGGAAGGAUUAGUGGGGUGCGAUUGGAUUUGUAGUUAGAGAUCCGUCGUUAUUCCGGGUGGUGGAAAGUUUUCAUAGAUUUGAAGUGUUUUUCGAGGUGAGGGCGAAUUAUGCCUCGUUCUUUUUAGGAUUUCUUCUAUCAUGGACCCCGCUUAGGCGAGUGCAUUUACCAUGUUGAAUUUUCUUGACAGGCGAAUAUAAGGGUGUGAAAAGACGCUCAACGAUUAGAAGCAGAUCGUGAUACUUGGGUGCUCUUCCCAAUCUUCCCCACAUGGCGUCCCUUAAUGAGGUACAUGAUGAGAGCUUAAGAGAAUGUCUCUUGUUCACGUAUCUAGAGUCCAACAUAGUUGAGGAUUUAUGUUUCUUCAGUCUGGAGCGCAGGUGUUAGUCCGGGGUCAGUUUAGGAAAUAGGUUUACGAAAAUCGGGUGUUGGAAGUAGAGUGCUCAUUCGUAUGAUCUUGUUGCUUACAGAAAUCUAAAUUGGGUCUUCUAUUUUGCAGAUAGUUGGUUAUGAAAGGUGUUCAAUGGUAAUACCUACUCACUCUUACGAAUUACCACCAUAUCAGGUAAUCCAAGUGAAAAUGCAACUAUUUUGUGUGUGAAUCGGAGAAACCCAAGGGAUUGUCUAUUUGUUGCAUGACUCACUUCUCGGCGUUGCCCUAGAUGUUCUUCUCAGGGUGGUUUUCUUGUACUUCGCAGCUCGAAAUGAAAAUUAUAGCCAAGGUGCAAAAUGCGAGUCCGAAAAAACUGGAGAAAUUAGACUUCUACAUGAAAAGGACAAAAGGUAUUAGUUCCUGGAUUUUGCAGAAGAAAAAUAAAUGCAUCAGAGAGGUUUGCUAUGAAAUGAGCCAUUUUUCAAGUCGUUGCUGCUGCUUUUCGUUCGGACUUUUUAACGUAAGAAAAGUUGACAGACCUUGCGAGAAAUACUACCGCAUCGCUAUCUUUUUGAUGAUGGUUGCCAUUUUGUCGUGGCAGGAUAUGCUACGUGUGAAAUCGACCAACAGAACAACACCAUCAAGAUUUGUUCUUUCUCAAACCUUCAUACUAGAGACAUUUUAUUCUACAUAACCAAUCACCUUGACCCAAAUGCGCGUGAGACGUGAAGACCGAAGGCUACAAUGUUAAAACACGUUGGAAUUGGUACCAUACGAUUGUGAAAAUUCAGGAGCGUUUCACUGCUCUGAUUUAUAAUUCAUGUGAUAUAAACUUCGGCUAGUUUUGCAACGGAGUGUGGCUUUGCAAACGUAUACACACUUCGUAGUAGGUAGUUUACAUACAAGAGUUUUGGUACUUUUAACUUCUCCAAUUCAUAUGGCUAAAAUUUCGGUUUUCUUUUUUUUUCUUUUUUUCGACGACAAUUGGUCACAUUUUUUUCUUUCUAACCGGCACAUGUUGACUUGUCAGUUUUACAUCUCCUUUACCUGCAUUGUGAUUCGCUCAUCUCCAUGAUUAUAUCGUUAAUUAAUAUCCCCCUCAACAAGCAAAAGGAAAACUAAAUCUUAGGUAAUACAACUGCAUUGCGUUUUUCGAGUUCAAAAUCUUGCAAGUAACCUUUAUGUCAGGAAUUAGAAGUAUUCCAAUAAUGUCAGAAAUUUAUAUACAGCAACGGCUCCGUUCAACCCUGCAUUCGACAUACUAAUUCUUCGUCAUGAAAAUCGAAAUUUAUACGCUCUCUAACUAGACCACAUGUCUCUUUAGAAGACAAUAAUCCUUAAAAUGAUAAAAUCUAGACUGGAGGCACAACGCUGUUGGCAAACAACUUCAAAAUUGGUCCUUGAAGGAAAAGUUCGGUGACGAUGAGGGAAAAGAAUCCGAUCAUAGCUGCACGCCCAUUCCACCUCUCUGCCUUCGCUGUAAAAGGACCGAAGCUGCGAGCAUCGGUUGACUCUUUGGCGUUAAAAAUCGGCACCAAGGAUGCAUACGUGAAAAUUUGAACAGACGCAAGGAACCAGAUUAAACCAGUGCUUCCGGGGCUGAAAACUUGGUCAAUCACCGAAAGACCAGUGGCAUUCUCCCCAACCAAUGCCCACACGAACCCCAACAUCGCCUGCAGAAAUCAGCGGGACGUUGUUAGGUUAAGACACAGGCUUAGCCGAAAGAAUAACCAUUUCCACAAAUUUCAAACAUGUUUCAAAAUACAACAGUUAAAACUGAUCUUAAGGUAUGCAGCUGAGUGUAACUGAGCAAGAGGGCGUCAUACCAGUCGGCCAUUGAUCGUCUCAGGCGCAGCACCAUCAAAAGCAAAGACACUCCAGGGCGACAAGUCUCCGGUCUCGGGUCUCCGCUCGACCUCAGGACGGCCAUACACGGACCCAGGAGUGGGCUUAGCACCAAAGAUGGAUCGCUGCUCAGACUCAUUGGUCGCCUGAUUCUGCAGCACCUCUUCCUUGGUAAUUGUCUUCUUAGUCGCUCGAUCAAAGGAACCUGCCACUCCAGGAGUGGAGGUGGGAAUGGGAGCCUUAGGCCCUUCUUCAUCCACCUCACAACGCACUCGCCCCGCACGCCGGGUCAACAAACGAGGAGAGUUCACCAACCUCGCAGCUUGAGAAACGCCCGCAACUCGGCAAGGCAAAUUGAUCCCACCCAACAUGGCACCGGUGCCGGCACCCACUUGGGACACGACGGCUGCCAUCGUCAACAACCCAAGAAAACACUAGCAAAUUACGAUCUCUCACUUACAAUACUCACACACUAGCAA